rnacentral:rRNA from 1 species
UACGAAGGGGGCUAGCGUUGCUCGGAAUUACUGGGCGUAAAGCGCACGUAGGCGGUCUUUUAAGUCGGGGGUGAAAUCCUGGAGCUCAACUCUAGAACUGCCUUCGAUACUGGAAGACUUGAGUCCGGGAGAGGUGAGUGGAACUGCGAGUGUAGAGGUGAAAUUCGUAGAUAUUCGCAAGAACACCAGUGGCGAAGGCGGCUCACUGGCCCGGUACUGACGCUGAGGUGCGAAAGCGUGGGGAGCAAACAGG